UAAGAGCAGGGCACCUCAGUGCUCUGCAACACAGUGGAAGAAGGUCAAGCAUCUCCUUCAUCAGAGGGUUUCAAGAAGAGGCUGGGGAAACUGAAGCACAGCAAGAUGGGCAAGGAUGCAUCCAAAACCAGCUGCAUGAACCAGAAUAUGAUCGGAGUAGAACUGAUUUCACUGGGACCUGGGUUUACUUCCAGGAUGGUUGACUCCUCAUCCCCACCCCUAAUAACCACUGGAGUCGCUGCCUCCGUCGCCAAAUGGUCACAUCAGCUCCAGACUUUACCCUGCGUCCCUGUAGAGAUGGAUGCAGGCUUGCUAUUGGACUGCAAUGAUGAAGGGAAUAUGGACUACGCAGAGACGCCAUGGACAUGAUACUUCUACAUCCUACUGUGAUUACAGCUGGGUUGUUGAGUUGCUGAUAUAAAUUAAAACAGUGCCUAAGUUGUGCUAACCCACCACACUGGGACUUGUGCAAACUGUAGCACUAAGAGAGUGCUGAACUUUAUUAGCUUUGCAUGUGUGGCCCCAUAUAUACGCAGUGUGAUUUGAUUUAAUAUAGUAUAUCAAAACUGUUGCUAGAGUAAGUUGUUUCAGUAUAUAAAGGACACCAUUUGCACUUGUCUUACUUUAGCAGGCUUCUUCUUGCUCUAGUCCAUAACUCAGGCUUCCUUUACUUAGUUAGCCAUUUGUAAACCCACUGAGAAAACAC